rnacentral:snRNA from 1 species
GUGCUCCCUUUGGCAGCACAUAUAGUAAAAUUGGAACAAUACAGAGAUUAGUAUGGCCCCUGUGCAAGGAUGACACACAAAUUCGUGAAGUGUUCCAUAUUUUU